rnacentral:rRNA from 1 species
UGGGGAAUUUUGGACAAUGGGCGAAAGCCUGACCCAGCAACGCCGCGUGAAGGAUGAAGUAUUUCGGUAUGUAAACUUCGAAAGAAUAGGAAGAAUAAAUGACGGUACUAUUUAUAAGGUCCGGCUAACUACGUGCCAGCAGCCGCGGUAAUACGUAGGGACCAAGCGUUGUUCGGAUUUACUGGGCGUAAAGGGCGCGUAGGCGGCAAUUCAAGUCAUCUGUGAAAUCUCCGGGCUUAACUCGGAACGGUCAGAUGAUACUGCUUUGCUAGAGUGCAGAAGGGGCAAUCGGAAUUCUUGGUGUAGCGGUGAAAUGCGUAGAUAUCAAGAGGAACACCUGAGGCGAAGGCGGGUUGAUAGGCUGAUACUGACGCUGAGGCGCGAAAGCUAGGGUAGCAAACGGGAUUAGAUACCCCAGUAGUCCCUGAGCGGGCUGGCAAGGCGCAU